GGCCGGACUGCUCUGGGUUAGGCUGGGCAUCGGUCAUCGGGUGGACCAGCAGGCCGAAGGAAAUGAUUAUCCCCCUCUACACUGCUCUUAAGAGGCUCCACCUGGAGUACUGCCUUCAGCUCUGUGGCCCACAAGACCUGGUCGACUGGGUCCAGACAGCCACAAGUUGACUGAGUCCAGACGGCCACAGAAGACGGAACCAAAGGACAUAAACGUGUGCAUGCUAGGAGCUGAACUGCAGACUUAAAACAAGAUGAUAACACUGAAGGCUGUGACUUACAUUACUGGAUUGAUGGGAAAGUAUAUGACUAUAUAGGAGACUGUAUUAUCUUCAGAACUUUUCACAAGUAGAAGCAAAAUACAAAGAACUGUAGAAAAUGUGAGCUCAAGAAACUAAUUAUGAGAUUUAAAACUAUAACAUCCAUGUAUUAGGCUGAGGUGGACAGGUCACUUAAGUAGGAGUUUAAGAAGUAUACUUUUCUCUCCCCAUUAAGAUACUUUAUAGCAUUUAUCACAUAAUCAAAAUAAGAAUAUAUUUUGCAAAAGGUGCAUGUCCAACACAACUGGCUGACAAUGCUAUCAUAUUCAUGAUUUCCCUUUAGCUUUUAAUCAAUUAUCAUAUUCAUAUUUUUAAAUGUAUGUAGUUUUAAGUUUAUAUAGACAAUUGAUUUCAUCUACUUCUGCAGUGUGUUUUUUGAUCAAAAGUGAAUGUAUUUUUUAAGUAAUCAGAAGAUAGAAGAUAAUUAUCAAAAUUAGAAUGUAUGAAGUCUUUGCUAUAGAAUGUCUGGAAAAAAAAAAUUCUUUCUGUGUCCCAGAUACUCCUACAAUCAAUAAUUUUAGAAAAAAAUAAAAAUGAAACAUAAG